UUAGUGUUAUGGUUAGUGUUAAGGUUAGUGUUAGGUUUAGGGAACGGGUGUGGUUUAGGUUACUGUUUAGGGUACAACAAGAGGUUAGGGUUAAGGUACGUGUUAGGGAAUGGGUUAGUGUUAGUGUAUGGGUUAGGGUUAGGUUAUGGGUUAGGGUAAGGUUUAGGGUGAGGUUUAGCGUUAGUGUUAAGGAACAGGUACGUUUUAGGGUGCAGGUUAUUGUAUGACAACAGUUUAGGCUUAGGGUACGUGGUAGUGUAUGGGUUAGUGGUAGUGUACGAGUUAGAAUUAGGGUACGGAUUAGGCUAAGGAAUAGGGUUAGGGUUAGGGAAUGGAUAUGGUUUUGGAUACAGUUUAGGGUACAACAAUGGGUUAGGGUUAGGGUACGUGUUAGGGUACGGGUUUGUGUUUGUGUACAGGUAAGGAUUAGGGUACGGUUUAGGGUAAGGCUUAGGGAAUGGGUAUGAUUUAGGGUACAGUUAAGGAUACAACAAUGGUUUAGGGUUAGGGUACAUGUUACGGUACGGGUUAGUGUUAGUGUAUGGGUUAGGAUUAGGGUACGGGUUAGGGUAAAGUUACGGUUAGGGAAUGGGUAGGGUUUAGGGUACAGGUUAUGGUAGGACAACGGUUUAGGGUUAGGGUACGUGUUAGGUUAUGAGUUAGUGUUAGUGUUAGGGU